rnacentral:rRNA from 1 species
CGAUAAAGCGGGUGAAAGGCCCGCUCGCCGGAAGACCAAGGUUUCCUGUCCAACGUUAAUCGGGGCAGGGUGAGUCGGCCCCUAAGGCGAGGCUGAGAAGCGUAGUCGAUGGGAAAUGGGUUAAUAUUCCCAUACUUGGAUAAACUGCGAUGUGGGGACGGAGCAGGUUAGGUUAGCGUACGGAUGGAAGAGUACGUUUAAGUUGGUAGGUGGGUGAGUUAGGCAAAUCCGGCUCACCAUUAACACUGAGAGAUGAUGACGAGGCUCUACGGAGCUGAAGUAACUGAUACCCAACUUCCAGGAAAAGCCACUAAGCGAAAGGUUUAUCUAAACCGUACUGGAAACCGACACAGGUGGUCAGGUAGAGAAUACUAAGGCGCUUGAGAGAACUCGGGUGAAGGAACUAGGCAAAAUAGCACCGUAACUUCGGGAGAAGGUGCGCUGGCGUAGUGUGAAGUUCUUCGCGAAUGGAGCAUGAACCAGUCGAAGCGACGAGCUGGCUGCAACUGUUUAAUAAAAACACAGCACUCUGCAAACACGAAAGUGGACGUAUAGGGUGUGAUGCCUGCCCGGUGCUGGAAGGUUAAUUGAUGGUGUUAUCGAAAGAGAAGCACCUGAUCGAAGCCCCAGUAAACGGCGGCCGUAACUAUAACGGUCCUAAGGUAGCGAAAUUCCUUGUCGGGUAAGUUCCGACCUGCACGAAUGGCAUAAUGAUGGCCAGGCUGUCUCCACCCGAGACUCAGUGAAAUUGAAAUCGCCGUGAAGAUGCGGUGUACCCGCGGCUAGACGGAAAGACCCCGUGAACCUUUACUAUAGCUUGACACUGAACCUUGAAUUUUAAUGUGUAGGAUAGGUGGGAGACAGAGAAGCGGUAACGCCAGUUAUCGUGGAGUCGAUGUUGAAAUACCACCCUUUAACGUUUGAUGUUCUAACGAGGCGCCUGGGACAGGUGUUCGGACAGUGUCUGGUGGGUAGUUUGACUGGGGCGGUCUCCUCCCAAAGAGUAACGGAGGAGCACGAAGGUUGGCUAAUGACGGUCGGACAUCGUCAGGUUAGUGCAAUGGUAGAAGCCAGCUUAACUGCGAGACGGACAAGUCGAGCAGGUACGAAAGUAGGUCAUAGUGAUCCGGUGGUUCUGAAUGGAAGGGCCAUCGCUCAACGGAUAAAAGGUACUCCGGGGAUAACAGGCUGAUACCGCCCAAGAGUUCAUAUCGACGGCGGUGUUUGGCACCUCGAUGUCGGCUCAUCACAUCCUGGGGCUGAAGUAGGUCCCAAGGGUAUGGCUGUUCGCCAUUUAAAGUGGUACGCGAGCUGGGUUUAGAACGUCGUGAGACAGUUCGGUCCCUAUCUGCCGUGGGCGUUGGAGGAUUGAGGGGGGUUGCUCCUAGUACGAGAGGACCGGAGUGAACGCACCGCUGGUGUUCCAGUUGUUUCGCCAGAAGCAUUGCUGGGUAGCUAAGUGCGGAAGAGAUAAGUGCUGAAAGCAUCUAAGCACGAAACUUGCCCCGAGAUGAGUUCUCCCAGUCUAAGAGACUGUAAGGGUUGUUGAAGACGACGACGUAGAUAGGUGGGGUGUGUAAGCGGUGUGAGCCGUUGAGCUAACCCAUACUAAUUGCCCGAGAGGCUUAACUAUACAACGCUGAAGGGUUUU